UUAAUUUUAAAAUCACUUCUGAAUUGGCCACUAUCAUUUUGAAUUAGAAUAUUUUAAAUUAUUGAUAUAAAUACUUCAUUCAGUACUUUCUGGUUGGUGACAGGAACACAGAGUUAAUGAACAAUUGUUAAUGCCAUGAUAAUUUGCUUUUGCUUUUAGUGUUGUGUUAUAUUAAACUACCUAUACCAAUCAAUACCAAUCAAUAUCUGUUAAGAUGAGAAAAAGUACACUGAAUAUUCCAGGGCAUAUAUAGUCAUUGAUAUCCUUUUAAAAUUAUUUAAAAUCCUUUCAAACAUUCUGAAAUAUCCAGUUCCCUAUAAAGAAUCCCAAGAUGUUAAUUACAAAAGUCCUGGAACUUUCUCCCAUUUUUUUUUAAACAUUAAGAAUUUGUUGAAGAUUUUUUACACUUGAACAUAUUGUUUAAAAAUAUAAUCUUUCUUCCUAUGUGACAGCCUCACACAAACAAAGUAUUUAAAGAAGAUGAAGCUCUGUCAUUGCUGUUUAAUUAACAGACUUUUGGAAUUAGAGGUUGUUAAAAAAUAACUCAAAAAAGAAAACUUUAGUGUGAUGAUGACAAUCAUCUCAUUCCACAUCAGAAUUUUAACUAGUAAAAAUCCCAUCCCCAGGUGUCAUCUGCUAGAACUAGUGGGUCUUAUUUUGGAUUGUCAGUUUUUCUUUCCCCAAUGACAUAUACAAAUCAGAUGGUGGAGGACGAAGCACGCUGAGAGGUCAGAUUUGCUUUGAAUUUAGUACAUGAUGUAACAAUUUCCUUUCUAUCAUCUGACUUUGGGUGCUCUCAGUUCCUUUGUUCUAUGUCUAAAUUGUUUAAAAUCACCUUGCCUUCUAGUGCAUAAAGGCAGCAUAUAUCAUUUCGUUAUUCUACAUUUUAAAAGAUUAAUUCCUGUAGUUUCUAUCAAAUUGAAAUCUACCUAAAUGUACAUUUUAAUAACUUUUACAACUUAUUUUGGAUUAUCCACUGACACAACCUUGCAAAUCUAGUUCAUCUAAGAUACAAAUAACUUUACAGUAAUUUGGUGACAAUGUUAAGGAUACUUUUUUUUUAAUUCCUACUUUCAGGUGUUUUGUUUUUUUUUCUACAGUAUGAUGGUAACUUUGUGAAAGUUUAGCAAUUCUAACAUACUAUAUGUCUGUCCUAAGCUAUAUUCAAAUUAAUAAAAUAUCCUCCACUGAAUACUUCCUAUGGGAAAUAUAGGCCUAAUGCUUGUAAAUUAAGAUCUUCCCCAUCCCCAAUUUUGACUAAAAAAAAUAAAAAAAAUUAAUGAUUAAUGAUUUAAAUUUCUGCAGGGUACAAAGCACCUCGAUCAAUAAAACUGGUGGCAUAUAUAUCUUGUAACAAUUUCUGUACAUUUUUAUAUAUGCCUUUGAGACACUUGUUAAGACUGUAAUGUCCAAUUGAAAUACACAAAUCUAUUUCUCAAUAGUUUACUCAUCUUUUGAGAGAUUUCAUCAAAUAUAAACUUUAUUAUCAGAUGCUCUUUGACAAAUUCUAGUUAUAGGAAAUUAAUUGAGAAAUUACUCUAUUAUGGCUAAUUAUCAAAUUAUGGAUUAUGAGUUCAAUGUAUUUUUGUAACUAAAUAGCAGCUUACAAAGCUAAUAUUGCCAUGCCCUACAAAUAAACCAAGUUAUUAAAAAUAUGAAAUACGUAAGUACGAAAGCCUCCAAUGUGACAAUAUUCACUGACAUGCUGUCAGAGCUGGAAGAGACUUUAAAUAUCUCCAGUGCAUCUCCAGCUUCUGGUUGAGAAGCUGAUCUGCUCAAUGUUAGCAAGCUAGCUGUGGUGAGGUCUGUGUUCUAGGCCCUCCAUCACUAGAUUCUUCACACACAUAGUCACACACACUUUCUCUCUUAAUAUAGUUCUUGCAAAGCAAGCUGAACGAGCACAUUUUAAUAUAAAUGUGCAUGUUAUAUUGUAUACUUCCUUAUCAGCAUUUUCUUUUGUCAGAAGAGCACAAAAAUAAAAAUUGCACUGGGCUUUGUUAAUCUACAUUCUUUAUGAGAAAUAAUUUUUUUCUUUAUCAAACUGACAGAAUUAGAUCCUUGUAAGUGUAAAGAUAUAUUACAAUUAAAGUAUUCUCAGACACAUGCCAUAAACAUUCACUAAGAGAAAUAUGAAUCUAACUCCGAGGCUAGAAUACAUGGUUAUGCUCACUUUAUUACCAGCAAAUAGACAACAUUCUCCAAUCUCACCUGCAAGUUUCUUUCCUUAAACAUACAGCAGAUGUACCGAGUUGUUCUAUGGUUCUAGAUUAUACAUUUCCAUUCACAUUACAAUAAAGAAUGUAUGCAUUUCUCUCCUGUGCACUUAACACCCACCAACAAUUACCAGUAGCAAUAAAACACUAAUAAAUUUCCUAACAAUGUGAGGCUGUACAAAAUCUAGCAGAAGUUAACCCAAGGCUUGGUGAUGAAAAAAUACUUGCUUUACAAUACUUAUAAAUGUGAUCUAGUUAUAGUUUGUCUUUUUAAAAACUAAAUAAUAUAUGUAAGCUGAUCAAUCAACAAUAUUUUAGAUACCUUGUUGGCCAUAAUAUUGUGUUUUAAUUUUUAAAAUAAACCAAUACGUUGCCUCUGAGCAGUAAACAAUGGCCAUUGAUAUUUAGAUAAAGUUAUUAAGUUCACAGAGACACCAGAUCUUAUACCCAGUAUAGAUUUGAAAAACAAAUAUUGAAUAAUUUAUUAUUUAAAGUGGUUAGAAUAAAGUUCAAGGGAAAUAUAAGCAAAUCAUUUCUUCUCUAACAAUCUGAAAUACAGGAGGUUUAAACCUUAUAUAUUUUUGUCAAAGUAGUAAUUAUCCAUAGUGACAGAUGCUGCUUCCAGCUGAUGGAGGGUCUCACAUGUUACUCUGCAUCUCAUUGGGAAGGAAAUAUAAAAUGUUAAAAUAGAAGUAACUUGGGGAAAGGCAUCAGUGAUGCAACUCUUAGCACCAAAUGUUUUUUCUUGGAGCACCAAAUGCUUUAAGGAAAACAUUCCAAGUAUCAAAGUUUUCAGAUAGAUAAAUAUUUAUGGAUCAAAUCCAUAAAGAACAGACAUUGUUAUGAAAUAUAUAUAGAUGCCUUCAAAACUUUCUUUCCAGGCAGAGUAGACACAUAAGUUAGGAGUCAUUUCCCACUUAAUUGUUUUUGAAACCUUAUGCAACACAAAUGGAUUAUGGCUAAAGGCUUACUCAUUUAUUCACAGAAAUCUUGACUGAACUUAAGUCCAAAAAAAUUAAACAGGAACUUUUUCUCUACAUAAAAUAUAAAAUGUUAUUAAACUUAUGGAAAUGAUUUUCUAUGACCCCUUUAUUUUCCUGGUUGAAAGGUCUAGAGCAGUGGUUUUCAAUGUAGUGAGAAAACAGUACUCAUUAAAGAAAAGUCCUCUCAUUUGCUACUUAGCCUGAUCAGAGAAAGUAGUAACAUAAAGCUGACUCAUAUCUUUCAGUGCAAUGAAAUUCAUCUGUCUUUAAACAUUAUGAACGGUACUUUUUUAGAGUACAUGUAGACCAAUGCCUCUCUGUCAUCACGGAGAAUUCUUCAUAGUGGUAUUAGAACUGCAAAUUCAUAUGCAUGGCAAUCCACCGAAAGCUACUUUGCCAUUUAAAGGCAGAGGUCUACUUACAGUGCUCAUGUAGCAACAUACAAGUGUCAUACAAAUGCCAUACAAUACUAGAUAAAUUCAAAGUCACUAUCAAAGCAAAAGCUUUAGCUUCUAGGCAUCCUUGAUACUCAUAAAUGCCAUUUAGGAAUGUGCACUGAUCAGAAAGGAAGUGCCAAUUUAAAGAAAAUAGGGAUAGGCCCUGUCCCAGAUGCAAAUGUAGAAGAAAGGUCUACAAGAACUCAAUGGGCUUCCAAGUCACACUUGCACACAUGGAUAAUUACUGCCAAUAGUAUCACUUGUGAACACAGGGGACAUUUGGGGGCGCAAUAUAAUUCUGUCCCCGAAACUAACCAGGACAAUGAUAUAUUCAACCAAACAAGGCUUGAGUUUAUGUAGGCUUAAAGAAAGUGGUAGCAGAGGCGCAGGUAAAAUUUUAUUUAUGAAUAUGUAGACACAUGACAUUGGAUCCAGCCAGCCAGUGACAUAAAUAAACUUGAGCAAAAGAUUCAAGCUAGAAGAUAUACAUGUACAUAUAUAGUUGCGCGUGUGAGUCAGGCUUCUUGGAGCAGCGCCACAAAUCUGGACACCAACCCACAGAAUCACUCCCAUCCUUUGAAAUUUCCAUGAAGAGCACAAUGGGGGUAAUUAAACUGGGUUGCUCCAAAUCGCUCUUUCCAUCUUGUGCACUCACAUGCCCGCCAAACAUGAAAUGUUCGCCUUCUCCCUUCCAACGUGAUGGUUGUUGAACUUAUUUUUAGUGUCAUUUGAUAAGCCUUUGUGCUCACAGAGAGACAUCCCACUGACCCAGCCACUGGUCAUUGUCUAUACCAGUUCACAUCAAAGCUGGCGCACUUUGUCAGGUUUCGCGUCGAAUAUCCAUUUCGCAUCUGAAAUUCAGUAUCGAAAGUGACUAGAUCAUUUGAGCUUUUCUCUUCAGCUGCUGCCUUCUUCCUCCCCCACCGUGUUUCCGCUCACGCUAACAUAAUUUGGCAUCGUCGACAUGACACGAUGGUGGUUUUUCUAAAAAAAUUCUAAUAUAUACAUUUUCGAUGUUUUGUGGUGGCUGAUCCUCCUGAACAUUUAAUUUUCAAAUUGAUGAGUGGAGGUCUUUUCUUCUCUACUGAAUCACAUCCAAGAUAAAGUGCCCCUCGAAAUCCAAGUAAUGCGCAUACAGUAAUAGGUCAUUCAAUGUCAAAA